ACCCAGGCUUCACCUCCCUCCGCUCGCACCCAGGCCCAACAGUGUCCCCCUGGCCCUCUCACAUUAUUUCCACACCUUUGCAUAACCCUUUGGGUUUCCCGGGUUGUCAGCUCUGUCCCAAACGCUUCGUCCCUGAGCAGUGUCAUCUCCAUGUCACAGAAGGGAAAGCAGGGGUUCAGAGAGGUUAAGCGACCGGCCAAAGACCUCACAGCUCUGACAUCGCAUCGCCAAAACGCGAACCUGAGUUCUCUGGCCUCAAAUGUCAGCCACUCUCCACUCCUCUGCCUCCCCCUCCGAGGACCACUCAGUUGCUAGGAGACAGCAAGCUGGAGGUUACUAUGGGAACCCGGCUGAUGUGGAAAGUGGAAGAGAGUUGGUGUCCAGGCGGCUGUGGGAAGGCUCCAGGAACAACGCAGAGGCUUCACUCUGGAUGACAAACGAGGAGGGGAGAGGCCUGCCCUGCCUGGACUCCGGGUGGGCAGAGCUGCUCGGUGCUGUGGCUCGAGGAGGAGGGUGAUUCAGAGAACAGGUGCUGCCUUGGAGAAAGAGAAGGGCAAGGCGGAAAGAUCAUAGGAAGGGCGGAGACGCAGGAGGUUCGCCCCCCCCCGCGCCCCAAAGGGCGCCAGGCAGGGCAGCUGUGCCCUUCUAUGGGUAGGCCUGAGAGAGGGCAAGGGCGGUGGGGGGAGUGGGGGGGACAGGGCUGGCGCAGCCCAUCGGCUGCAGGUCGGCUGGGGACAGCCACAGUCACGGAAUCUUCCUUCCUUCGGUUGCCCCAGGAUCUCUCCCUGAAGCUGGGGUUUGAAUCCCUUGUCCCAGCUGUGCGACCCCUUGGUUUCACUUAGCCCUCCACGCCUCCCUGGGGUGCUGGACCCCGUCCCGGGCUUCUGGGUCCUUCAAGGCCUGCGUGUCCCUCGGAGCGCCACCAGGAGGCGCCCCGCACCUGCUGGGCCCUGGGGAGCCUGGGGCGCGGCCGGGUCG
rnacentral:lncRNA from 1 species